rnacentral:rRNA from 1 species
UACCAGCUCUCCGAGUGGUGUGGAUGUUUAUUGGGCCUAAAGCAUCCGUAGCUGGCUAGGUAAGUCCCUUGUUAAAUCCACCGAAUUAAUCGUUGGAUCGCGGGGGAUACUGCUUGGCUAGGGGACGAGAGAGGCAGACGGUAUUCUCGGGGUAGGGGUGAAAUCCUAUAAUCCCGGGAAGACCACCAGUGGCGAAGGCUGUCUGCUAGAACGCGCCCGACGGUGAGGGAUGAAAGCUGGGGGAGCGAACCGG